GAGUGGAUACCCAUAGAGCUUGGAUACUUGCAUGGAUAAGGAAGAAGCUACUUUCUUUUAGAUCUAUAUUCGAAGAAAAAAAUUAUGAAACAAAUAUGUGAUUCGAUCACAUAUUUAAUUUCAGCAUAAGAUUCAGUAUAUGUUCAAUUUCAGUAUAUAAAGUAGAUCCAUAUGUUCUUUAUUUUAUACAUGCAUGAUUUAAAUUAAAAAAUAUUUUAAUCUUCUAUUCUAUUAUACUAUUUAGAAAAAAAAUUUGAAACAUACAUGCAUAUCCUUAUACAAAAUUACAACACCUCAACCUCACCAUUA
rnacentral:lncRNA from 1 species